GAGGCAUGUGCGGGGUGCUAUACAUGCAAGUCGAACGAACUCUGGUAUUGAUUGGUGCUUGCAUCAUGAUUUACAUUUGAGUGAGUGGCGAACUGGUGAGUAACACGUGGGAAACCUGCCCAGAAGCGGGGGAUAACACCUGGAAACAGAUGCUAAUACCGCAUAACAACUUGGACCGCAUGGUCCGAGUUUGAAAGAUGGCUUCGGCUAUCACUUUUGGAUGGUCCCGCGGCGUAUUAGCUAGAUGGUGGGGUAACGGCUCACCAUGGCAAUGAUACGUAGCCGACCUGAGAGGGUAAUCGGCCACAUUGGGACUGAGACACGGCCCAAACUCCUACGGGAGGCAGCAGUAGGGAAUCUUCCACAAUGGACGAAAGUCUGAUGGAGCAACGCCGCGUGAGUGAAGAAGGGUUUCGGCUCGUAAAACUCUGUUGUUAAAGAAGAACAUAUCUGAGAGUAACUGUUCAGGUAUUGACGGUAUUUAACCAGAAAGCCACGGCUAACUACGUGCCAGCAGCCGCGGUAAUACGUAGGUGGCAAGCGUUGUCCGGAUUUAUUGGGCGUAAAGCGAGCGCAGGCGGUUUUUUAAGUCUGAUGUGAAAGCCUUCGGCUCAACCGAAGAAGUGCAUCGGAAACUGGGAAACUUGAGUGCAGAAGAGGACAGUGGAACUCCAUGUGUAGCGGUGAAAUGCGUAGAUAUAUGGAAGAACACCAGUGGCGAAGGCGGCUGUCUGGUCUGUAACUGACGCUGAGGCUCGAAAGUAUGGGUAGCAAACAGGAUUAGAUACCCUGGUAGUCCAUACCGUAAACGAUGAAUGCUAAGUGUUGGAGGGUUUCCGCCCUUCAGUGCUGCAGCUAACGCAUUAAGCAUUCCGCCUGGGGAGUACGGCCGCAAGGCUGAAACUCAAAGGAAUUGACGGGGGCCCGCACAAGCGGUGGAGCAUGUGGUUUAAUUCGAAGCUACGCGAAGAACCUUACCAGGUCUUGACAUACUAUGCAAAUCUAAGAGAUUAGACGUUCCCUUCGGGGACAUGGAUACA
rnacentral:rRNA from 1 species